GUGGCGAGUGGCGAACGGGUGAGUAAUACAUCGGAACGUGUCCUAGAGUGGGGGAUAGCCCGGCGAAAGCCGGAUUAAUACCGCAUACGCUCUAUGGAGGAAAGCGGGGGAUCUUCGGACCUCGCGCUCAAGGGGCGGCCGAUGGCGGAUUAGCUAGUUGGUAGGGUAAAGGCCUACCAAGGCGACGAUCCGUAGCUGGUCUGAGAGGACGACCAGCCACACUGGGACUGAGACACGGCCCAGACUCCUACGGGAGGCAGCAGUGGGGAAUUUUGGACAAUGGGGGCAACCCUGAUCCAGCAAUGCCGCGUGUGUGAAGAAGGCCUUCGGGUUGUAAAGCACUUUUGUCCGGAAAGAAAUCCUCUGCCCUAAUACGGCGGGGGGAUGACGGUACCGGAAGAAUAAGCACCGGCUAACUACGUGCCAGCAGCCGCGGUAAUACGUAGGGUGCGAGCGUUAAUCGGAAUUACUGGGCGUAAAGCGUGCGCAGGCGGUUCGCUAAGACCGAUGUGAAAUCCCCGGGCUUAACCUGGAACUGCAUUGGUGACUGGCGAGCUAGAGUGUGGCAGAGGGGGGUAGAAUUCCCACGUGUAGCAGUGAAUGCGUAGAGAUGUGGAGGGAAUACCGAUGGCGAAGGCAGCCCCCUGGGCUACACUGACGCUCAUGCACGAAAGCGUGGGGAGCAAAACAGGAUUAGAAUACCCUGGUUAGUCCACGCCCCUAAACGAUGUCACUAGGUUGUUGGGAAUCAUUCCGUAGUACGUAGCUACGCGUGAGUGACCGCCUGGGGAGUUACGGAUCGCAGAUCAAACUCAAUGACGAU
rnacentral:rRNA from 1 species